UGUGCCAGCCCCAAGCCCUGAGCUGUCUCCAGACAGAGGAGGAGGGUUCUGUACAUGGCAGAGAGCUGCAGCUACUGUCCACAGGAAAGACACCCAGGCACAACAAGGAGGAUUGAACAAGAUAAGAUGGGCACUCAAGCAGCCAGAAGCCCACACAUUACACUUACGGGGGAAGAUCACCCACAGUGCACAGACGUGCAGUGAGCUUUGGGAGGGAGGAGGCAGCUCAGCACAGUGUACCAUGCAUGCCCUUGCAUUGUGGAGGAAGGCACAGGCAAUUGGAUUUAACCAGCUGGGUGGAAUUUGAUUUGAUUAGCUUUGGCACAGUUUCACAUACUCUCAAUUCAUCAGUGAAUGGAGUAACUAUAUUGGAAAGCUACUGGGGAAAAACAACAUUGCCCCUGAUGCUACUGUCACAGGCAGAUAGAGCACAAUCCCAUACAGCCUCACUCUGUGUUUUCCUCUCUUCAUUGUCUCCCUAGUUAGUUUUUUUGUGCCAGUGUGUGUCUUCCUGUAUCAGGAUUGGCUGCCUUUUCUUGCUCUGAGAUCUUGGCAUGUAAAGAGCAGUCAUUACUCCAUGACUUGACUAUGAGCAAGGGUGGGAGUGCCCCCUCUUGAACAAUAAAACCCCUUGUAGAGAAAAGCCUAACUAAACAAAACAAAAUGUGUAAAACCAGGCAGUGCUGCCACAAAGCACUUUGCUAGCUAGGGAGUCUAUAUGGAGUAUGAAUAAGAGCCUACUGUGUUGCAGUCUGUCCUGCCUGUGAAAGAUCCCAUUCUAUAAAGGGGUACGUGUUAGUCUCUUCUUAUUUCAUACAAGUCUAGGCAAAUACAACUACUUUAGUUUCAAUGAAGCUGUGCCUAAUCUCCACCAAGAAUGAGAACUGAACCAGGCCCAGCAAUUUGGGACAGCAUGUUCAUACAAAGCCAUCUUCUCUCAGAUUCAUCUUGAGAAAAUAACAUCCCCUACUUUUACCAACUGUCAAUACCUUGUAAUUUUGAGUAUCAGUAGUGGCAGCUCACAGUUAAAAACAUUUUUAUGUAGUAUGAGCUUACAAGUCCUGUAAUAUGAGCUAAUAAAGGGUAAUAUGCAAGUGAUUGAAGUAUUUUGAAACAUGGCUCACCAGAAGAUCAUGUGUCUAUCAUGUGUCAGGCUGAGCUCUCUGUAUGAAGAAUAUGAGGGAAAUUCAUUGCUUUAUCUUACAGCUCCCCAGAAGACCAUCCUUUUAAAGUAGAAUAAAAAAAGUGUUUUGUUUGAAGGAUAGAUCUGAAGAAAAGUUAUAGGUUUCAGAGACAGAGAAUCAAGCUAAAUAUGGUGAGCUGUACAGACGAAUCUCAGGAAUUAUUCCUGUGAAACACAUUCUCAAGCUAAGUUACCCUAAGUAUUAACAUUUGUCUUGAGUGAAAAUAGACUUUCAUCAGUUAAUUUUCAAAUCAAGAGGUGAAAUUAAAAAGUGAGAAAAUUCUCAGUAUGAAAAUUAAAUUGAAGCAUCCAAGUUUUCAACAGAAAAGUGUCCAGGCAUGAGCCUUUUUGAUUUUUAGCAGGGUACUACAAUUGUGAAUACUUGUAGGAGCUCAAUUGGAACUGUAGAGAGGCCAAAAACCCCCAUGUAUAUGUCUAGAAAAUACAGAAAAUGGAAAUAUGGAUCUGAAAGGUAAAGAACCAAAAAUGAAUUAAUGUACUCAACAAAUGAUCAACAGAUAUGUAAUUUUCAGUGUGUACUUCUUACAGAUUUUGUUCCAUUUCCUCAUGUGGGAGGAAUCCUAUGUGGGAUUAGGCAGGACAUUUUCCUUUGACAAACAAUGUAAGACUGAAAAUGAUGCAUGAAAAAAGGCCAAAAGCUUUACUUGUGAAUUCUGUCCACCAUCAGUGGUCGUUGAUAUCAAUGUUCUUUGAGUAGAAAGGCUACAAAAUCAAUAAAAGUAAUAAAAACAUUA